rnacentral:rRNA from 1 species
ACGAGGGGCUCAAGUUGAUAGAUCACGGCGUAAAGAGUGGUUAAUUUAAAAUUAGACUAAAGCCGAACAUCUUCAGAGCUGUUAUAAGCACAUGAAGACAAGAAGCCCACUAACGAAAGUAGCUUUAAGACUAUUGAACCCACGAAAGCUAAGACACAAACUGGGAUUAGAUACCCCACUAUG